rnacentral:siRNA from 1 species
GAACAGAAAUCUCGUGUGGA